rnacentral:rRNA from 1 species
UACGGGGGGGGCAAGCGUUGUUCGGAAUUACUGGGCGUAAAGGGCUCGUAGGUGGCCAACUAAGUCAGACGUGAAAUCCCUCGGCUUAACCGGGGAACUGCGUCUGAUACUGGAUGGCUUGAGUUCGGGAGAGGGAUGCGGAAUUCCAGGUGUAGCGGUGAAAUGCGUAGAUAUCAGGAGGAACACCGGUGGCGAAGGCGGUGGUCUGGGCCGGCACUGACGCUGAGGAGCGAAAGCGUGGGUAGCAAACAGG